GGGGGGAUUCCCGAGCGGCCAAAGGGGUCAGACUGUAAAUCUGAUGGCCACGCCUUCGCAGGUUCGAAUCCUGCUCCCCCCACCA
rnacentral:tRNA from 1 species